AUUUGGAGAGGAUGCUUUUGGCGCGGCGCCGUCCGAGUUCCUUGGAACAGGACGCCACAGAGGGUGAGAGCCCCGUACGGACGGACGCCUAGCCUUUACAAAGCUCCUUCGACGAGUCGAGUAGUUUGGGAAUGCUGCUCAAAAUGGGAGGUAAAUUUCUUCUAAAGCUAAAUACCGGCCAGAGACCGAUAGCGCACAAGUAGAGUGAUCGAAAGAUGAAAAGCACUUUGAAAAGAGGGUUAAAAAGUACGUGAAAUUGUUGAAAGGGAAGCGCCUGUGACCAGACUUGCGCCCCGUGGACCAUCCGGCGUUCUCGCCGGUGCACUCUGCGGGGCGCAGGCCAGCAUCGGUUCUCCUAGGGGGAUAAAGGCCGCGGGAACGUAGCUCCUUCGGGAGUGUUAUAGCCCGCGGUGGCAUGCCCCUGGGGGGACCGAGGACCGCGCUUCGGCAAGGAUGCUGGCGUAAUGGUCACCAGCGACCCGUCUUGAAACACGGACCAAGGAGUCAAGCAUUGGGGCGAGUGUAUGGGUGCCAAACCCGCACGCGAAAUGAAAGUAAACGCAGGUGAGAGCUUCGGCGCAUCAUCGACCGAUCCUGAUGUCUUCGGAUGGAUUUGAGUAAGAGCCUUACCGCUUGGACCCGAAAGAUGGUGAACUAUGCCUGAAUAGGGUGAAGCCAGAGGAAACUCUGGUGGAGG
rnacentral:rRNA from 1 species